rnacentral:rRNA from 1 species
GCUCAGAUUGAACGCUGGCGGCAGGCCUAACACAUGCAAGUCGAACGGUAACAGGAAUCAGCUUGCUGAUUUGCUGACGAGUGGCGGACGGGUGAGUAAUGUCUGGGAAACUGCCUGAUGGAGGGGGAUAACUACUGGAAACGGUAGCUAAUACCGCAUAACGUCGCAAGACCAAAGAGGGGGACCUUCGGGCCUCUUGCCAUCGGAUGUGCCCAGAUGGGAUUAGCUAGUAGGUGGGGUAACGGCUCACCUAGGCGACGAUCCCUAGCUGGUCUGAGAGGAUGACCAGCCACACUGGAACUGAGACACGGUCCAGACUCCUACGGGAGGCAGCAGUGGGGAAUAUUGCACAAUGGGCGCAAGCCUGAUGCAGCCAUGCCGCGUGUAUGAAGAAGGCCUUCGGGUUGUAAAGUACUUUCAGCGGGGAGGAAGGGAGUAAAGUUAAUACCUUUGCUCAUUGACGUUACCCGCAGAAGAAGCACCGGCUAACUCCGUGCCAGCAGCCGCGGUAAUACGGAGGGUGCAAGCGUUAAUCGGAAUUACUGGGCGUAAAGCGCACGCAGGCGGUUUGUUAAGUCAGAUGUGAAAUCCCCGGGCUCAACCUGGGAACUGCAUCUGAUACUGGCAAGCUUGAGUCUCGUAGAGGGGGGUAGAAUUCCAGGUGUAGCGGUGAAAUGCGUAGAGAUCUGGAGGAAUACCGGUGGCGAAGGCGGCCCCCUGGACGAAGACUGACGCUCAGGU